GAGGGUAUUUUUCAGUGGUAGAGCACGUGCUUGACAUGCAUGAGGUGCUGGGUUCAAUCCCCAGUGCCUCCG
rnacentral:tRNA from 1 species